UCCUACGGGGCGCAGCAGUGAGGAAUAUUGGUCAAUGGGCGCGAGCCUGAACCAGCCAAGUCGCGUGAGGGAUGACGGCCCUACGGGUUGUAAACCUCUUUUGUCGGGGAGCAAAUUCCGCCACGCGUGGCGGAGUCGAGAGUACCCGAAGAAAAAGCAUCGGCUAACUCCGUGCCAGCAGCCGCGGUAAUACGGAGGUGGCGAGCGUUAUCCGGAAUGAUUGGGCGUAAAGGGUGCGUAGGCGGCCUGCUAAGUCUGGAGUGAAAGGUACCGGCUCAACC
rnacentral:rRNA from 1 species